rnacentral:tRNA from 1 species
AGGUCUGUAGCUCUAACGGCAAGAGCGCCGGACUCCAAAUCCGGAGGAUGGGGGUUCGAAUCCCUCCAGACCUGCCA